rnacentral:rRNA from 1 species
CGCGGUCCAUCCGGUGGCAACACUGGAGAAGGCUGAGUGGCGAACGGGUGAGUAGCACGUGAGCAACCUGCCCCGAAGACCGGGACAACACCGGGAAACCGGUGCUAAUACCGGAUGCCCCCACCAGGCCGCAUGGCCCGGUGAGGAAAUGGAUUCCGCUUCGGGAGGGGCUCGCGGCCUAUCAGCUUGUUGGUGAGGUAACGGCUCACCAAGGCUUCGACGGGUAGCUGGUCUGAGAGGACGAUCAGCCACACUGGGACUGGGACACGGCCCAGACUCCUACGGGAGGCAGCAGUGGGGAAUCUUGCGCAAUGGGCGAAAGCCUGACGCAGCAACGCCGCGUGAGGGACGAAGGCUUUCUGAGUUGUAAACCUCUUUCAGCAGGGACGAUUGUGACGGUACCUGCAGAAGAAGCCCCGGCCAACUACGUGCCAGCAGCCGCGGUGAUACGUAGGGGGCAAGCGUUGUCCGGAAUUAUUGGGCGUAAAGAGCUCGUAGGCGGCUUGGCAAGUCGAAUGUGAAACCUCCAGGCUCAACCUGGAGCCGCCAUUCGAUACUGCCAUGGCUAGAGUCCGGUAGGGGACCAUGGAAUUCCUGGUGUAGCGGUGAAAUGCGCAGAUAUCAGGAGGAACACCGGCGGCGAAGGCGGUGGUCUGGGCCGGUACUGACGCUGAGGAGCGAAAGCGUGGGGAGCGAACAGGAUUAGAUACCCUGGUAGUCCACGCCGUA